UGCUGAUCCAGACGGGGACUUUUCAGCCACCUCACCGACACCACGCUCCCUUUGCUCCCUUUUGGAAUGAUGUGGCACUCUCAGCUACCUCUCCCACACAGUGUCUCUCUGCACGCUGUCACGCUCUCCACCCUGAUGCAAUAGAACCCUGACUAAGUCAACCAAGCUGGCCUGGAAAAGAUAGAGACCUGCUACCUCUGCUGGAGCCAGCGCACUGGAACUAAAAGUGUGAAUCGCCACAUCUCGCCCGCCCCCCCCCCCCGCUCCCCGCCAGACAACGCCCCCGUACUGAAAGUGUGCAUCGCCACACCCCGCCAGACAACGCACCGGUAGAAAAGUUCUUCGGCUGUGUUUAUCUGAUGUUCUAAGUGCGUCUUCUGCUUGUAUGCAUGGGUCCUCCCCUCCACUUGGGAAAUGUCUAUUGUCGUCUUACUGAACAGUGUCUGCCUUUGGUUUUGGUGCUUCUACCCCACACUCACUCUAGGAUCUGACCUCUUCAUAAGUACCGGCCGUCUUUAGAAUUGUGGGCACACUUGUGGUUUUUUUUUUACUUUAUUGUUACCUUACCUUGUUAUUCUGGUCUUUCAGACAUUCCUCAUUUUAUCCUUUUUUUAAGAUGUAUUUUUAAACUGGGUGGGCAGUGGUGGCACACACCCUUAGUCCCAGCAUGUGGGAGGCAGAGACAGGCGGAUCUCUGAGUUUGAAGCCAGCCUGUUCUACAAAGUGAGCUCCAGGACAGCCAGGACUACACAGAGAAACCCUGUCUCAAAAAAAAAAAAAAAAGAUUUAUUUUUAUUUGAUGUGUAUUAAGUGUUUUACUCCCCCCCCACACACACAAAAUUUUCAUGCAGUACCUACAGAGGCCAGAAGAGGGUGUCAGAUUCCCCCAUAAUAGAAGUUACAGGCAAUUGUGAGCACCAUUGGGUUCGGAGAACUGAACCGGGGUCCUCUGGAAGAGCAGUUGGUGCUCUUAACCACUGAGCCAUCUCUUCAGCCCCCUUAUAUGGGUGUUAGUGGGUAUUUUUCUCCUUGGCUUACAAUCCUCAGUACUACCUGGAGAGCAGAUGACAGCGGUAACAAAAGCAAUGACCUGGCAUCAAUCCAGGUAUCAAAGUGCAGUAGGCCUGAGAACUGGCUCAGGAGGUAAAGGUGCUCCCCAUGCAAGCCUGACUACUUGAACUAGAUCCUGGAGCCCAUGAAGAAAACCGGAUGCAGGGACAUCUGCAAUCGUGGAGGAGACAGCAGGUAGUGACAAGAAAAUCUGCCCACAGCUUGUGGGCCAGCCAGCCUGGGGUGAAAGCAGAAAGGAGAAGAGACCUGACACAACUAGGUGGAAGGCGUGGUCUCCGGCCUUCACCCAAACAUGUGAUAACUAGCUCCCUCUUCCUGGUAUACUUUCCUGGUUGAUCCUUCCUGAUGCACACAGAUGUUAGAGAG
rnacentral:lncRNA from 1 species